GCCGUAUCUUCGCUCAGAAGAGAUAAAUUUCUACAUGUAUAUUGAAGGUUUUUUCGUAUGUUUACAAAAUUAUAGCGAGGAAUCUAUUCGUCACAAAAAUCGAGACAUAUUUUAAACAGAACUAAACAGUUGCUAAUCCCAGGUUAACAUGGUUGUCAACGUCGUUGUUAUGGUCAAUAUUUGCAUGUUGUUCAACAUGUUGAAGGAAAAAAACUUUUAGAAC